rnacentral:rRNA from 1 species
AGUGAACGCUGGCGGUAGGCCUAACACAUGCAAGUCGAACGGCAGCACAGUAAGAGCUUGCUCUUACGGGUGGCGAGUGGCGUACGGGUGAGGAAUACAUCGGAAUCUACUUUUUCGUGGGGGAUAACGUAGGGAAACUUACGCUAAUACCGCAUACGACCUACGGGUGAAAGCAGGGGAUCUUCGGACCUUGCGCGAUUGAAUGAGCCGAUGUCGGAUUAGCUAGUUGGCGGGGUAAAGGCCCACCAAGGCGACGAUCCGUAGCUGGUCUGAGAGGAUGAUCAGCCACACUGGAACUGAGACACGGUCCAGACUCCUACGGGAGGCAGUAGUGGGGAAUAUUGGACAAUGGGCGCAAGCCUGAUCCAGCCAUACCGCGUGGGUGAAGAAGGCCUUCGGGUUGUAAAGCCCUUUUGUUGGGAAAGAAAAGCAGCAGGUUAAUACCCCGCUGUUCUGACGGUACCCAAAGAAUAAGCACCGGCUAACUUCGUGC